rnacentral:lncRNA from 1 species
AGCAGGGCUGUGUCCCUUAGUGGGGGCCUGGGAGAAGCCAUUUCUGUGCUCAAUCCAGCGCUGGCAGUUCCAUGAGGUUAGGCCUGAGGGCCCUGCUGCCUGCAUGCUGACUGCUGGAGCCACUCCUAACUCCCUGGUGCUUGCCUGCACGAGGGCCACCAGAUCCACUGCCAUCUCCUUGCCCUUUCUUCUAGUCCCAUUGCUCUUGGACCACACCCAGGGAAGACUGUCUGCUUUAAAGGAUUAGAUUGGGCCCAGCUGAAUACCCCAGGACAGGCUUCUCAUCUCAACAUCCUUGUUAAUCACCCUUGCCAAACCCCUUUUGCCAUCUAAGUUCAGGGAUUUAGGAUGUGAGUAUCUGAAGAGCCAUUGCUCUUUGUACCACAACAUUAGCCAUCCGACAAGUAUGUGUGUGGUACCCUGUUGUAUACCAGGCACUGUGCUGGAUGCUGAUUUAAGAUGUCAGUGUCGGGGGUGUUAGGUAGGGGAUGAAGGCUGGCGGGCAAGGUGCCACGCAUGAGGACAUCUGACUUAGGGCUCCUUUGCAGUAAUCUAGGUGGCACACUUACAUAAAAUACAAUGUGGGUUAUUUCUCCACUCACCCUAACCACCCCCACCACCCUGGCCCCACCUGGCACUUAAACUUUAUUCCUCUUGUUUUCUCAACCCUUGCAGGCUGCAGCCCUGGUCUGAUGGAGAUCUCUGGAUAAAGUCAUUCCAUUUCUCCAGAGAGCAGAAGCUAAGCCCACCAGGGAACUGGGCUGGGGACUCUGCUAGAACCAGGUUCAGCCAUAGCAGAAAAACAAACAAAAGCAAGCUGAAAACAUCUUCAACUGCUGCUGGGCCUCAUCACAUUUCCUGCAUCUGCAGAACAAUGCAAUCGUCAUUCUCAUCUUGAAUGUUGAUCUGGAAGCACAACACAACUGUCAUUCAACCAACAAAAUGUGGGAUUUGCAUGUGGUGAGUUCUGCGUGGUACACUAGAAGUAGCUAUACACUCUUUGUUAAUAAGAAAACAGUGAGAGGUGAAGUCAGUUUCCCCUCACCUGAGUCUAGCCUAGCCAUAUAUUUUA